rnacentral:lncRNA from 1 species
AUAAAAAAUCCACUUAUUUUGGGCUUUUGCAAAACCGGGUCACCUUUUUCGUUUUUGCAGAUUCGGUCCGCUUUUUCAGCAAACUGACCAAAAUACCCUUAUUACUUUUUCUCUUUCCUCUUUCUCUCCCCUCUUCGUUUCUGUCGUUCUUUUUUUUUUUCUCGCCGAAAAAAAAAGGCGGACCGUCGCCUUCUUCUUCACCGUCGUCUCCCUCCUCACCAUCCUUCUUCACCGUCGCCCCCCUCCUCACCCUCCUCUCCACCGCCCGCGACCCCCUCCUCCUCUCCUCCGCCGCCGCGGACCCCCAGCCCGAUCCCGUCGCCGCGGCAGCAGCGGCCGCGGUGAACGGGGUCGGGCUGGAUGCGGAGAAGAAGAAGGGGAGGCCAAGCGGCAGGGCGCAGGAGAGGGAGGCGAAAGCGCAACCGGCGCCGGCACUAGCGUCGCGCGUGUUCUUCUCCGUCGGCGCUGCCCUUCCUCCCGCCGCCGCGCAGAAGCCGCCGACCAGCGCCUCUGCUUCUCCCACGACGACGUCGAGACGCCGCGUCCGCCGCGGACCCCCAGCCCGAUCCCGUCGC